GUGCAUAGCUCAAUUGGCAGAGCAUCGGACUCUUAAUCCGCAGGUUGAAGGUUCGAUUCCUUCUGCA
rnacentral:tRNA from 2 species